UGGCAGAGCUGUUGGCCAUAAAGAGUGAGUUGACUCUGAUCAAGGUGCAAAUUGAUGGACUGCUGGACAGUGUGGAAAAGAUGGACAGACGGAGAAAAGAUCACUCAGAUUCAUCUCUGACCGGGGAGGGCAGUGUGUCGGACUCAGUGAGCAGUCUGGACGACUCCCCUGUCAGCCUUCACCACAGACAGAGAGAGAGCCCAGAGCCAGGAGAGGCCAGCGAUGAUUACCACCAGCACCACCACAGGAUACAUAACCAUCAUUCUGAUCUGGAAGAUAACAUGUGAGGAGAUCAGACUCAAUGAACCCAAUGACAGCAGCACAGUGACAUGGAGAGGGAUUCAAGUGAAGAGGAGUGAUCAUCUCUGACCACAGUUAACAUGGACAGAAACCUCAAAUACACUGUACCUUACAAAGUUGGAUCUUCAGUGAAUAUUUUCUUUUGAUGAGUAAGAAAUAUUUCUCUGGUUACCCUCAGUUCCUUUCCCACAGUAAGCUUCUGUCCACCUUCGUGUCUCCAGCUCCCCUUUGUAACAGGUUCCUACAGACUUAUGGACUCAACAAAAUAUGGCAGCUUUAAAAAAAAAUGUGUAGUCUCUUGAAGAAUGGGUCUGACAACUGAUAUGCAUCACACAGACAGACACACCCACAUUUAUACAACUACAGUUGAAGUUGGAAGUUUACAUACACUUAGGUUGGAGUCAUUAAACUCGUUUUUCAACCACUUCACAAAUUUCUUGUUAACAAACUAUAGUUUUGGCAAGUCAGUUAGGACAUCUACUUUGUGCAUGACACAAGUAAUUGUUUCCAACAAUUGUCUACAAACAGAUUAUUUCAAUUAUAAUUCACUGUAUCACAAUUCCAGUGGGUCAGAAGUUUACAUACACUAAAUUGACUGUGCCUUUAAACAGCUGGGAAUAUUCCAGAAAAUGAUGUCAUGGCUUCAAAAGCUUCAGAUAGGCUAAUUGACAUUAUUUGAGUCAAUUGGAGGUGUACCUGUGGAUGUAUUUCAAGGCCUACCUUCAAACUCAGUGCCUCUUUGCUUGACAUCACUGGAAAAUCAAAAGAAAUCAGCCAAGACCUCAGAAAACAAAUUGUAGACCUCCAUAAAUCUGGCUCAUCCUUGGGAACAAUUUCUAAAUGCCUGAAGGUACCACGUUCAUCUGUAUAAACAAUAGUACGCAAGUAUAAACACCAUGGGACCACGCAGCCGUCAUACCGCUCAGGAAGGAGAC